GACGAACGCUGGCGGCGUGCUUAACACAUGCAAGUCGAACGAUGAAGCCGGAGCUUGCUCCGGUGGAUUAGUGGCGAACGGGUGAGUAACACGUGAGCAAUCUGCCCUUGACUCUGGGAUAACUGCGGGAAACUGUAGCUAAUACCGGAUACGACACCUGGGGCAUCCCAGGGUGUGGAAAGAAUUUCGGUCAAGGAUGAGCUCGCGGCCUAUCAGCUAGUUGGUGAGGUAAUGGCUCACCAAGGCGACGACGGGUAGCCGGCCUGAGAGGGUGACCGGCCACACUGGAACUGAGACACGGUCCAGACACCUACGGGAGGCAGCAGUGGGGAAUAUUGCACAAUGGGCGAAAGCCUGAUGCAGCAACGCCGCGUGAGGGAUGAAGGCCUUCGGGUUGUAAACCUCUUUUAGCAGGGAAGAAGCGAAAGUGACGGUACCUGCAGAAAAAGCACCGGCUAACUACGUGCCAGCCGCCGCGGUAA
rnacentral:rRNA from 1 species